rfam:Hydatigera taeniaeformis genome assembly, scaffold: TTAC_contig0000227
GUGGGAUAUGGUGAUAUGCUACCUCAGACACCGAUUGGCAAAGUGAUUGGCUCAGCGUGUUGCAUUUGUGGAGUUUUGGUGGUGGCUCUACCCAUUCCCAUUAUUGUCAACAAC